UAUGUUCCCUUCAUACGCACAAUAUUCCACAAUUCCAAUGGAUAAAAAAGUUAAUUUUAAGAUCGGCCAAUAUACCUAGACUUGGCAACGCGGUCUAACAAAAACUGUCAUAUACGUCAAAAGUUUGACGUUUUACUUAAUCAGCUGACGUUUGUUUAUAUUUUUAUUUAUAAAUAUACUGUUAAAUAAACCUAAUAUCUAUUAUUAUGCAAUGGGUAAGAAACUUAUGCCGAUUAUGUGGCGAAAUCGGAGAAGUCUGCUAUCAUUUAUUCGACCCGAAUUUGAGGCUCGACCUAAAAGUUAAAAGAUGCCUAAACUUAGAAAUUACCGAGGAUGACUAUAAACCGAAGGAAAUCUGCGGCUUGUGCUACAACAAAAUCAACGAUUUCUUGCACUUUAUUGACACAACCGUCACCACCAGCAUGAAAUUUGAAUCAAUGUACUACUCAAAUAACUAUUACAUGAAUGAUAAAUACCCUUAUACGGAUAAUAAUUACAAGCAGAGUGUAAUUGUCACUAAUCACCAACAGCCCAACAAGCCUUCAAUAGAAAAUCCAGAAGUUAUCCCUUAUAUCGGUUACGAACAUGACAUACAACCGGACAUGGUGAACUUAUUUGAUUGUGCUGAAAAACAGAUGGGGCAAAGCGAGUUUUUGCCCUACAGCAGCGACCCCACAAAUCUGGUUUCAGUCGAUGCAAUAAAGAAAUCAAUUUCAGGCCCGACCCAACCGAAACAAAAAAAAACCCACUCCUACAAAUGCCCCCACUGUGAUAAAACAUUCCUAAGAAGACUUAACCUCACCUCCCACAUAUCCAAGCAUACGAACAUUAAAAACUUCCAGUGCCCCAGCUGCCCCAAAGCGUUCGCCGUGAAAACCUUACUGACUCAACAUCGAAAGGUCCAUUCGGAGUUGCACCGAUGCCACUUUUGCCACAAAGGAUUUCAAUCGCCCAGUAAACUUUCCCGGCAUAUGUUAACCCACGAGUUGAACAAACAGUUCGUGUGCCCCCUGGAAGGUUGCCAUAAGGAGUUCUCGGAGAGGGGCAACCUGAAUCAACACAUGAAGAGCCACAACAACGAGAGAACUUUUAUGUGCCAUUUAUGCGAUAAACUAUUUAAAACCCAAAGACAUUUGAGGGCCCACGUGAUGAAUCACACCAGGGACAGUCAGUUCGUUUGCGUUUAUUGCAACAAGGGGUUUAAGUAUAAACAUAAUUUAAAAAGUCACCUUGUUAAACAUAGAAAAUAGAGAAUUAGUUUUGAGGUUUCUUAUUUAUUUGCCCUCGUAUUGGGUGCCAACCGGGUCGGGAUUGUUAUCGGUGCACCCUCGUAUGCAACGUCAAACUUUGACGGUUGACAUUGACAUGUUUAUAUUGACAUUUUUUCAGUUUAAAUGUUUAUAAAGCAUAUUUUUUUUGUAAAAUUUUACAAAUUCCAAUAACAUCAGGAUGCAACUGUAAUAAUAUUAAUAAAUAAGGAGUGCUGAGACGUUAUACCGUUUGAUGGAGGCUCAAGAAAACAAAGAUGAGGAAGACCCAAAACCCUUAACACCAUUAGACUCGGCCUUAAACGAGCUGGGCAUGCUAGCAACCGGAGCAAACUCCCGUAAAGAGUACGUAAGCAAUGUGUCUAUAGGGUUCAGGGUGAGACCUAGCACGCCCCACGUCAGGUAUAAACCGUAUCAGAUGCCUCAAAGGCAUAG